UAAUCUCAGGGCAAGACUUCAGAGAAAC
rnacentral:piRNA from 1 species